AUUUCAAUAUGGAAUAAGACUGCCAGCGACCAAGCAACCACAGCCCGAAUCCGGGAUACGCUUCGGCGAGUGCUUAACCUACCUCCCAACACCAUUAUGGAAUACAAAACUCACACCGACAGCAUCAAAAUGCCAGGCAGGCUGGGCCCCCAAAGGCUCCUUUUUCAAAACCUCUGGAAGCCGCGGUUGAAUGUGCCAUGACCCUCUCCCUCUCUGGAUGGCACCAUCAUUGAAGCUGGCGUCAUCGGAGUCUCUUGUUCUGUUGGCGUGCUACCUGGAAGAUCCUUCUGUCCUGGACAAGAGGAAUUGGAAGAGCAUUUUAUGUUUUAAUAACAGGCUGACACACAGCAGCUACAACAUCAGCUUAGAUCACUUAAUAAAUGGUGCUAAACUA